rnacentral:tRNA from 1 species
GAACCUUUAACGAACUUGUAGUCUUGCGCUGCCCUCCGAAGGCAGAGGCCACUGGUUCGAAUCCAGUCGGGUGCACCA